rnacentral:rRNA from 1 species
CCUACGGGUGGCAGCAGUGAGGAAUAUUGGUCAAUGGGCGGAAGCCUGAACCAGCCAAGUAGCGUGCAGGAUGACGGCCCUACGGGUUGUAAACUGCUUUUAUACGGGAAUAACGCGCCUUACGUGUAGGGCUUUGCAUGUACCGUAUGAAUAAGGACCGGCUAAUUCCGUGCCAGCAGCCGCGGUACUACGGAAGGUCCGGGCGUUUUACGGAUUUAUUGGGUUUAAAGGGAGCGUAGGCCGCAUGUCAAGCGUGCUGUGAAAUGUCCGGGCUCAACCCGGGCCUUGCAGCGCGAACUGGCUUGCUGGAGUCCGCGGAAAGCAGGCGGAAGUCGGCGUGUAGCGGUGAAAUGCUUAGAUAUGACGAAGAACCCCGAUUGCGAAGGCAGCUUGCUGCAGCGGAACUGACGCUGAUGCUCGAAAGCGCGGGUAUCGAACAGGAUUAGAUACCCCAGUAGUC